CGGACGGGUGAGUAACGCGUGAGGAACCUGCCUUUCAGUGGGGGACAACAGUUGGAAACGACUGCUAAUACCGCAUAACGUACUGGUAUCGCAUGGUACUGGUACCAAAGAUUUAUCGCUGAGAGAUGGCCUCGCGUCUGAUUAGCUAGUUGGUAGGGUAACGGCCUACCAAGGCGACGAUCAGUAGCCGGACUGAGAGGUUGGCCGGCCACAUUGGGACUGAGAUACGGCCCAGACUCCUACGGAAGGCAGCAG
rnacentral:rRNA from 1 species